UGUUCUUUCCACUUCUGGGGCUGUGACUUGAGUUUCUCCGCAGGAGCAGAUAGUGUUUGUGUAGGGACUGCGGACUUUUGCAUUACAGCCUCCCUGCUUUGCCCGCCUGCUGCUGGAAGCUUAGCAGAUACAUUUCAUCAAUGAAGCCUUCUGGACCUGGAGUUUCCUAUAUGAGAAGGAUUUUGAUUACACAUUCAAUUUCUACAAUCAAUAUAUGACUGGCCACAUUUUCUAUCUCUUCUCAGGCCACACCGUAGUCAUAGAGCAAGAGGACUCAGAUACAGUUUGGUUGGUCCUUUACCUUCAAAAGUUCAAGUGCUGGCUGCCGAGACUUCUCCAACUCAGUGAUCAGGGUCCCAAGCUGGACCACCUCCUCAGAACCCUUGAUGACACGGCUGUUCCUCCUUUUAUUCCUCUACUUGUCCAUUUACUUUAAGAGACACUUACUGAUGCAAAGGAGACUGAACAGUGAAGGAUCUCACUCAGAAUCCUGUCCACAAUCUGUCCAGUUUACACCUUACCCCAAAGAGAGGUAGCCUGUUAUACAACGUUCUUCACCUCAUUCUCUCACUUCACAAUAUAUCUUGGAGAUCUUACCAAAAGCACACAGAGACCUCCUGCGUUGUGAUUAGAUUUUCAUUGCAUAAUAUUCCAUUGUUCGUGUGUGUGUGAGUGUUUAGUUAGUCUCAAAUUGAUAGGUGCAUGAAUUUUUCCAAUCUUUUGUUAAGGCAAGCAGUAUUGAAUAAACUUGUACAUAAU
rnacentral:lncRNA from 1 species